rnacentral:snRNA from 1 species
CUGCUCACUUUGGCAGCACAUAUACUAAAAUUAGAAUGAUACAGAGAAGAUGGCCCCUGCGCAAGCAUGACACACAAAUUCAUGAAGCAUUCCAUAUUUUU